UACGUAGGGUGCGAGCGUUGUCCGGAAUUAUUGGGCGUAAAGAGCUCGUAGGCGGUCUGUCGCGUCGGCUGUGAAAACCCGCGGCUCAACCUCGGGCCUGCAGUCGAUACGGGCAGACUAGAGUGCGGUAGGGGAGACUGGAAUUCCUGGUGUAGCGGUGAAAUGCGCAGAUAUCAGGAGGGAACACCGGUGGCGAAGGCGGGGUCUCUGGGCCGUAACUGACGCUGGAGGAGCGAAAGCGUGGGGGAGCGAACAGG
rnacentral:rRNA from 1 species